rnacentral:rRNA from 1 species
UACGUAGGGGGCAAGCGUUGUCCGGAAUCAUUGGCGUAAAGCGCGCGUAGGCGGUCCGGUAAGUCGGUUGUGAAAACUGGGGGCUCAACCCUCAGAGGCCGACCGAUACUGCCGGGCUAGAGUCCGGAAGAGGCGAGUGGAAUUCCUGGUGUAGCGGUGGAAUGCGCAGAUAUCAGGAGGAACACCAAUAGCGAAGGCGGCAUCCUGGACCGGCAUUGACGCUGAGGCGCGAAAGCUAGGGUAGCAAACGGG